AAAUUUCAUUUGCUAAAUUAGCCAUAUUUCAAGUGGUCAAUAGCCACAUGUGACUGGUUGCUCCUAUAUUGGACAGUACACUCUAGUGGAAUAGAGUACUGGAAAAUUAGAUUUAAAAAGUUGUGUGAAACCAGGCUGUAAAGGAUUGGGAUUUUACCCUAGAGGCAAGGGAAGCAGAGGAUGGUUUUUGAAGCAGGAAGUGACACAACUUUGUGCUUGAGGCUAGAAAAAGGCCACUAGGUGGCCAACUGGUGACUCAGGAACAAGAGCAACCCUUCAGUUGAGUCCACACAUUUUAGGCUCUGACCUCAGCCCUUCAGAAUCAGAAGUCUGAUUUUUGUCAAUGCUCUAGAGCAGUGCCACAAAAAGUAUGGUCCACAGGCCAGUGCCAGUCUGCAUGCCCUUUGUUAUUGGUCCAUGGCAAGGUAUUUACAGAAAUUGAGAGUAAGAAUUUUAAGAGUUUUAUAGCAAUUUAACAUUAAUUUUAUGUCUGUGGAUCUAAGAAAAAUUUUGGUCUCAUUUGUUGUAUAUGUUUUUUUUAAUUUCCCUUUCCUAGUAAUUUAUUUUCAUAUUUUAUAAAAUUGUCUAUGAUCUUUCACCACAGAUAAUUUUUGAAGCACUGUUCUACAGGCACUCAGGUGAAGGCAGUCAGAGGGACCACAUUCUCAGAAGACUUACCUAAAUCCAAAGGCCUUUUCUCACUUUAUAGUUAGCACUAUAGUGACUAAGAGAAGAAUGGACUCUGCUCAGUUUCUCCCUCCAUAUAAAAAUGGAAGAGAGAAUACAUGAAGUUGACUGCAUUACUUCCAGAAGGUUCAUUAGUGAAUUUGAGACCAGAGUAAGGGGAGUUAGUGGUAUUCUAACAGCAUGAGUCAAAUGCAUUCAUUUCUGCAAUAGAACUAUGUCUGCUUUGCUCCUCUCUAGACUUUAUAGAUCACAAAUCAAUAAAAAAUAAAGGAUCUGGCCCCGUAGCGUAGUGGUUCAGUGUACACCACUUCAGAGGCCCGGGUUCGCAGGUUCGGAUCUCAGAUAUGGACCUACAUCAGCCAUGCUGUGGUGGUGACCCACAUAUAAAAUAGAGGAGGAUUGGCACAGAUGUUAGCUCAGGGCUAAUCUUCCUCAGGAAAAAAAAGAAACCCACAAUGAGAUACUUCUGUACGUGCACAAUAAUGGCAAAAAUGGAAAACAGAAAAUGCCACAUAUUGGGCAGGAGUUGAAACAACUGAAACUCUGCAUUGCUGGUGGGAAUGUAGAUUGGUAUAGCCACUUUGGAAAAUUUGAAGUUCAAAAAACAGGCAAACCAAACUAGAUUUAGGAACAUAAUGUUUAGGUAGUAAAAACUAUAAAGAAAAGAAAGGAAAUGGCUAGCUUUGGGUGAGGGAGUAAUGCUUAGACAGGUACAAGGGGACUUCUGGCAUGCUGUCCAUGUCUGUUUCUUGAGUAGGAAUUACAUGAGUUCACUUUGUGAUUCAAUGAGCUGUAGGUUUUGUGGUGGGUGUACUUUUCAGUAUGUGUUGUAUAUCUAAUGGUUUAAAAAAAUUUGCUGGAGUUAACAAGUUAGAAAAUAUGUCCCUGGGCAAUGCUGGAUAUACACUACCAACUACUACUUGCUAACUGAGCCCAUCUUUCUAUAUAUGCAUUACAAAUGUGAAAGAUAAGGUAGGCUUGAAUUCUAGGAGUGGCAAUGGUGAAGGAGAGGAGAGACAGAUGCACAAAAUACUGCAGAACCUGAGGCAGUAUGGGAAGGUGAAGGAGCAUGGCAGUUGGAGUGAGGAGCCCCAAGUUCAAGACUUAACUGGUUUUUAGUCCAGGCUCUAGUCACUCUCUAAGCAUAUGACCUGGCCUAUCUCCUAACUUACCUUAAUUUCAUUUUUCUCACCUGGAGGGUGGGGUUGAUAAAACUGACAAUCUUUCGUUUGUAACCUUUUGUAAGCUAUUGAAAUGCCAUAUAAAAUUUAUAUUGAUGUCUGAUUCAGUGUGAUGGGGAAGGAGUUAAGGAUGAUUGAGAUUUUGAGCCAGAGUGGAGAAGGUAAUGGUGGUAGCAUGAACGAAAUGAAAAAACCAAGAGGAGAAGCAGAUUUGGAGAAAUAUGACAUUCUAUUUUAUACAUGUUGAGUUUAAGAUCAUGCCAGAACAUCAAGAUGGAAUUAUGAAACAGACACAGAACUGAAGAUUUGGUGCUCUGAAAAAAAAGGUCAGAAAUGGUGAUAGGAAAUUAGAAGUUACCCACAUAAGGGUAAUAACUAAAGCCGGGAGAGUGAAUGAGAUCGUUGAGAGAGAACAUAGGAAAACUGAGUACUGAGGACAGAGAAGGAGAGAAGGAAAGGGAGAAGGAAAGGAAAUCAACAUUUACUGAGCCCCUGUUAAACUGUGUGCCAGCUGCUCUACGUUCGUUACCUCAUUUAUUCCCCUCAAAUUCCAGGGUGGCUGUUCUGACCUCGUGUAGCAGACUCUAGACUCACAGCAAGACAAAAAACCAGUGUUUGAAACCAGCUUGGCUCCAGUUUAUGCAGUGCCCUACUCCAUUCCUGGAGAACCAAGUGUCUCUUGCAGAAGCCCAGGGGGAGACUGUGAGUCAAGGAAAGAUAAGCCCUGAGAAAAGACCAUUGGAUUUUUGUGACCAAGGGGUUCCUGGAACAUGGGCAGCAGUGCGUGCACUCUCCUGUUGUGUUUUUGUGAGUGUGGGUAAUCCAGACACGUUGGUGUUCUAGACCUCUGGCAGUAAGAAAAAAGUCGAGAUGGUAACUGUAAAAAUUAGUAUAAUGAAAACAAAGUCAGUUAUUAAAACCCGGCUAAAUACUCUUGCCAGCCAAGUGCUUUGGAUCUGAAGGCUUGAGAGAGAGAUGGGAGUAACUCUCUGUGAUUCACAGUGACUUGCUGUUCUUGGCCGCUUGUUUCAUGUACUGCCUGGAACCGCCGUGAGUAUCGCCAGUGGUGUGGGUCCUUCAUGUUGGGAAACACUGGAGAGUUGUGUAAUAAUGGUCACUGUUUACAGUGCAGCUUCAGUCACCUGAAAUUCUAAGGGAAAAGACCAAGGUGGCUUUGCCAGCCAAGGUCAUUAAAACUUAGAAUGAAAGAUAGUUUCUGCUUGUUAGUGAACACACCUUUUGGAAAGCAGCAGUAUCUCCUCAAAAUUUAAAGUUAUCCACUGUAAUCGAUGAGGAAGACUUUUCCCUAGUAGGUUUAUUAAAACAGUUUAUUUAUUUACUACUUGAAUAGCUUUUUACAUGAAGUUUUGAAAAGUAAAAGAAAAAUGUUCCACCACAACACAAUUACUGGUUUCCUCCUGCAUGUUUUCAGAUUUACAGAUGAAUAAUGUGUCCAUUUUUGGCAGGCAGAACACUGAAGAAUUUUAAAUUGGUUGCAGGAGUAUGAUGUCUUCUGUCUUUGUCUGCUCCCUUCUCUGAGAUCAAGAGAAGACAGCCAGAAGCAAGUGAAAUUCUUUGGCAAAGUCACUGAUCUCAGAGUUCCCCAGAGGCACCAAGAACUUUGAUUUCCAGGAAUUAAUUAGGCACGGCCACUUCGCUCAAUCUUAUAUUUUAUACCCCAGAGAUAAGGUGGCAUUUGGGCAACCUUAUUUUCUUACUCUAUUUUAAGGCAGUGGACAUUUAAUAAUUGUUGGUUGGUUGUGGCUUCCAGCCAGAUUUUUUUUAAUUAUUUGAGUAGAUAGUCUAUCCACUGGUGCAAAAAACUUUUCAAACGUCAUCUACUGUCUUCCAUCCACGCAGUUCCCACCCCCAAGGUAACCUCUACUCUUAUUUUCUUUUGUAUUUUUCCAGAGUUCUUUUCAUGCCUAUACAUGUAAGAAAGAAUAAAUGUUCUUCUUUUUCCCCAUUUUUAUGAAACGAUGCCAUAUACACUCUUCUGCACUUUGUACUUGACAUCUUGGGCUUUUCCAUAUAAAGUAUCAUUUUUCUUACCCCUGCAGAUUAUUUAACCAAUCAGUAUCCAAUUGAGGGACAUUGAGUUUCUAAUCUUUUGUAUUCUAUUUAGUGCUUGGAUGAAUGUCUUUGUACAUACAUCUUCUUUUCUUCUAUAUUUAAGUACGCCUCAUCUCACUUCCAAGAGUGGAAUUGCUCUGCCAAAGGGCAUGUAUGAAUUUUUAAUUUUGAUAGCUACUGCCAUAUUGCCCUCCAUGUACCAAAUGUUUCUCCACAGCAUUGCUGGUAGACUAGAAUGCUACCAAAUUCUUGGAUUUUUCCCUACCAGUUUUUGAAUGGCAGAUUAUUUUGAGUCCUUUCUAAUAUUUUCAGAAUCAAUAACAAAAUCAUUUGGGUAAAUUGGGGGAAAUGAGGUUCAGUUUUCAGAAUUUGUUCAGGAUACAGGAAUUCUUUGCUGCAGCUCCUGCAGCUACACACCCACAACUAGUGAAAACAUGGUUGCUUAUGCAGUCGAAGCAGGUAGCAGUACUGGAAAGGGGCCAAGAAUGACUACAAACUGCUCCACCUACACUUCUUUUUUUUUUGGCAAAUUUGCAAGCCUAGCAGGAUCUAAAAAAAUCCUUCAGCCUUUGUUUGAAUUGCAGAGAAUCAACCUGGUAAGAGGGAGGAAAUUAUUCAUUUCUUAAAAAUUCUCCUAAUAUGAUAGGAGCUGAAAAUGAUUUUUGUUUACUUUUGCUUUGGUGCUAAGGUGGCACAGGGAGGGGAAAGUGGGGGUAUUAGGCUGCGGGUUCCACCUGCACUGGGGGUUGUAUUGGAGUGUGAAGAAAGAUUUCUAGGAUUGAUGAUCUUAGUUACUUGGAGUCAGAUUAACUCAGGGAAAGGAAAAGAGUUAGAUAUGGCAUGCUAGUUUACUGACUUUUCAAAUUUUUUAAUCAUUUUGUAAAUUUGUCAGUUUGCUGUGGACUGAAUGUGAAUCCCUACGGUCCAUAACCUCUAACCCCUAAUGUGAUGGUAUUUGGAGAUGGGACCUGUGGGAAGUAAUUAGGGUUAAGUUAGGUCAUGAGAGUGGGUUCCUCCUGAUGUGAUUAGUGGCCUUAUGAGAGAGAGAGGUCUUUCAGCUGGAACACAGAGGAAAGGCCAUGUGAGGACACAGUGAGGAGUCUGUCUGCAAGCCAGGACAAGAGCUUUCACUGGGAACCAGAUCGGCCAGCACCUUGAUCUUGGACUUCCCCGCCUCUGGAGCUGUGAGGAAUAAAUUUCUGUUGUUUAAACCACAGUCUGUGGUAGUUUGGUAUGGCAGCCUGAGUUGACUAAGACAGGGUGUCUCUAGUUUUCCACAGAUUCAUAAAGAUCCAUCCAACAAAAUUAUCCUAACUGUUAAUAAUGUCCUGUCUUUCUUCAGAUUAACUGCAACCAACGUUUUGUCUGUGCAGUUCCUGUGCAAUUUGGAAACCACGAACUCUUUAGGAAUGGCAGAGCACCCAGUAUUUCCUUAAAAUCCGUGAUGCUAAUGAAGUUGCUCAAAUUAACCAGAUGGAUAAUAACAUCCAUUGGGUUUGGAGUGUAUAACCGUAAAGAAAGUCCAGCACUGCUACACCUAUGGGCGUCCUCAGUUUGGUUUUCCAGGUGUUGCUCAUAAAUCAAGACGAGGCAGUAGAUAUAGUCAUGGAAAAAGAGAGAAGACGGAGACAUCGGUUGUCGGUAUCCAUGGCCUCUGAUCCUGUGCUGACCAUGAAGCAGAGGUGUUCAACAGAGACCUGCUGAAAAGCUUAUGGAGCUGGAGGGAAUGUAAACAGCAACAACCAGACGUGGAACAACAAUGGCAGGCUCUUCCAUCCAAACUUUAACUGUAAUCUGUUCUUUUAAGUUCAUUUAAGAGAGAGAAAAUCUACACUGAAAUCCUUGUUUGGUGAGUUCACAUGUUUUUCUCACUGUCUGGUAAUUCCCUUAACUGUCCAUUACAGAUUUUUAACAACGUACGUAAAACUCCUACUAUUCAAAGGUCAAUUGUAAGCUUCAUUGUAACAUUUUAAAAAAUGUAUUCCUUCCUCCCACACCUCCUCAAAAUUUAUUUCUUCAAAAAACUGAUAACUCAAUACCUGACAAUUGGAUCCACAGUGAUAAUAAAUGUGAUGUCUAAAAUGACUUAACUAAAACAAUUCCCAAGUGCCAUUAGCAGAGAUCACGCAGAACUGUAACACAGCACUUUCAACGCUAUCUUCUGGAAGAACAGUUAGGUCUCCAAAGCACGAGAGUUGAAACAGGAGCCAUCUAAAUAGGCAGAUUAUCAAUGGCUAAUGUACUCAAUGGGAGGCCUAUAGGUCAAGAUAUUCAGUGAUUAAGUGGCCUACACAUACCUUACAGAUUUUCUGUAAGAUGUUUUCAAAUUUCUUACAGAUUUUUUCAAAUAUCAAAUAUAAGAGAAAGCCUACUUCAAAAGUCUCUUAGGUAUUCUCAAUGGUUUCUGAAUUCUCUGUAGGAAGCUCCGACUUAGCUGUAUAGAGUUUGAUAUAUGUGUCCACCAUUAAAUCCAGAUCAUGUUUUAUAUCAAAAUUUAUGUUAAGCAAAGCCAAGUUACUCGACCUUUGGUCUGUCAAAGUGUUCCUCAGGUAUGCUUUGAGACGCUUCCGCCCGUUUUCAUAGCGUUCAUUCUCAACCUUCA
rnacentral:lncRNA from 1 species